UAGAGUUUGAUCCUGGCUCAGAUUGAACGCUGGCGGCAUGCCUUACACAUGCAAGUCGAACGGUAACAGGUCUUCGGACGCUGACGAGUGGCGAACGGGUGAGUAACACAUCGGAACGUGCCCAGUCGUGGGGGAUAACUACUCGAAAGAGUAGCUAAUACCGCAUACGAUCUGAGGAUGAAAGCGGGGGACCUUCGGGCCUCGCGCGAUUGGAGCGGCCGAUGGCAGAUUAGGUAGUUGGUGGGAUAAAAGCUUACCAAGCCGACGAUCUGUAGCUGGUCUGAGAGGACGACCAGCCACACUGGGACUGAGACACGGCCCAGACUCCUACGGGAGGCAGCAGUGGGGAAUUUUGGACAAUGGGGGCAACCCUGAUCCAGCAAUGCCGCGUGUGUGAAGAAGGCCUUCGGGUUGUAAAGCACUUUUGUCCGGAAAGAAAUCGCACUUACUAAUAUUAGGUGUGGAUGACGGUACCGGAAGAAUAAGGACCGGCUAACUACGUGCCAGCAGCCCCGGUCA
rnacentral:rRNA from 1 species